UUACAGGAUCCUGCCCCCAGAGUUUCUGAUUUUGUAGCUCUCACAAAAUUAUAAAUUUUUGUAGCCCUAACAAGCUGCCAGGUGAUGCCAAUGAUGGUGGACUGGGGACCGCACCGUUAGAACCACUGGUCUGCACGAUUACAGUGUCAUCCCAGGGGAUAAUGUGGGGUGGCUGGCAGUCUGAAGAUACUUGGAUUCAUGAUUUCAUGAUUUUAUCCCAAUAAAUGUAGAUUGUUCAACUCAGUACAAAUGUGCAGAGCACCAUGGUGAGUAUGGUGCUUGGUUCUAUUGUGGAUGCCAAGAAAAGAUAGUUUCUUAUCUUUUAAUAGCUUAUAAUUUAAUUAGCAAGGAAAUUGAAUAUGCUCAAUGAGUGUAGGACAAUAAGAAAACUUGCCUGAUUAUGUUGGAAAGUCUCAAGAACAAAGGAUGGAGAAUUAGGAGGAGGAGUUAUUCAAAGGCCUUGCAUAAGUGGUUGAAAUGUUGAGUCAUAGCUUUUUUGAGAAGGCUGGAAACCUCCAUUGAGUGCUGAAGAGUCAAUAAUAUCAGACUCAAAGUCACGAUGAUUCUUCCGGUACACAAACAGGGCCACAACUACAGAGAUGGCCAGGCAAACAAUGACAGCAAUCACAACGCCAACAUACAGAGCAAUGUCAUCUGAAUCAGGAGCAGCUAAACAGGAGAAGGAAAUAUUGGACCAACUGGGAUAAGCUUAGUGGGAUGCACAGCAGUCGUCUCCAAAUCAUAACCAGAAGCUGUGCUUUUUACACUCAGCAGCAGCCAUUUCCAAAGAAUGGAACCUACUGUGCCCAGAAAAACAAAACGCCUAUUGGAUUUUUAUUUUGUGUCAGCAACAUAAUUACUCAUUUAUAUUUUAAGUAAAGUUCCUUUUUAAAGGGCCUUGUGUGUAUAGACUUUGGAAGGUAAGUGGAUCUUCAUAGGUAAGGUAAAAAUAAAAUAUGUUAUGCAUAAAAGCUUCUACACAAAUAUAUUUGGUUGUCUGUAUUUACAAGUAAUUUGUAACGUGUUAUAUGAAAUGUCAAUAUUUAGCUGCCAUUAAGAUACAAAGAUAGUACAUUGUUUGAUCUAGUCAUCUGCAUGGGUGUGAUUGCAGAACAAUUCUUUAGUACCUCAUGGUUGUGAGAGAGAUGGUAAAUUUUGUACCUCUAAGGGCUCCUUAAUAAAAGGGUAAGAAUUUGUAGGCAUGGAAAUCAAACAACCAUCUCAUUAAGAAAACCCAAAAGACAAAGCCAUGAAAAAAAUGAGUAUUUAGCUUAAAGUACCCAUUAUAUUCCUGAACCAAUCAUCUAUACCCAUUUUAAAAUUGUAUAUUUUAUUAACAUUAUCCCUUUAAAUAAACAUAAUUUCUAACAAAACCCAUCAUUUUUAAAGAGCUGUGAGGAUGUUCCCACCAACCUCUGGUAACUGGGUAAGUCUACCUACAGAAGUGUCUGCCGUUCUUAUCCAUCUUACAUACCCCAUGGGCCUUAGUUGGCUAACAGCCAUGAAUUAGGAAUGCAUGGCUUGUGUUAGGAAGUCACAUGACCCCACAAGGCAUUUAGGGUGCGCUUCGGUGCACUCUGAUAAAGCUGAGCAGUGGUUCCCUGGUUUGGAAUGAAUGACAGCCCCUCACAGAGAUGACUAAAUCACACUUUGCUCAUGGGAAAGCAAAUACUGUGUGUGUCAUUUGUUAACUGGACACAGUUAUUCCUUUCGGUUCCUGGGAGUUUACCUUUUUCAACUCAGGAAGAGACCUAGAAUAUUGGUAUAUUAUUGCAUGUUCUUGUUGUUCAAAUAAUUUUUAAUUUUUAGUAUUUCCUGCAAAGAAUCCCGAAUGGUUAGACCCCAGGUCUUCCUGGUGUGUUCUGUUGGCCCAAA